UGAGGGCCCCGGAUGAGGUUUGGGAAGCACCGGUGUUCCUGGCACUGCUUUUCUCCUCCUACCGUGCCAAGCCUGCUGGGCUGCCUUUGUAACCAGUAUACCUGUAAAUGACUGACAGCCUCGGAAUUGGGAAGGCGGCCCUGCUGGCCCUUCCUUGCUUCAGCCAGCCCUUGAGACUCCCUGCGGGGUGGUGGGCAGCACACAUUUAUAUCGGGAGGAUUAUAAAACCCAAUCUCAUAAAACAUCUAGGACAGAAAGGACAGUUCUGCAGACGUACCCUAUUUGGAUCAAGUGAGCCAGUCUCUUGAACCUGAGUACUGACUGCUGAAUGAGGGGGUAGGUACUGCAGAUCUGCCUCCCCAGGCUGCCCAGGAGAUAAAGACACAGCAAUUAUGAAAGUGGAGGAGGAAGAUGAAGAGGAUAGGGAAGACCAUUUCAAAAAGAAUGAAAUAAGAUAGCGUUAUCACCACAAUUUCUGAGUCGUUCCACAACUAUGAAUGAGAGAACCUUAUUAUCAUCACAGUUAAUUGUGUAUCGAGUGGCAAAAGAGAAUAUGGCUCAUAUGGCUGUUGAAAAAGUUAUUCUCCUGGCAUGUAUGGACGUGGCAAGUACAAUUUUUGAUGAUAAGCCAGCUGAUAAAUUAAGAACUAUUCCUCUUAGUGAUAAUACAGUAUCUCGUCGAAUCUGUACUAUUGGAAAAACAUUGAGAAGCAAUGCUUAUCACACAGCUACAGUGUGGUGCAGAUUUUGCUAUCCAACUUGAUGAAAGCACUGACACUGCAAGUUGUCCAACAAACACUCUUGGUUUAUGUCCAAUAUGUGUGGCAUGAUGAUUUUAUAGAGGAUCUGUUGUGUUGUUUAAAUUUAAAUUCACAUAUAGCUGGGUUAGAUUUAUUUACUGAAUUAGAAAAGUGUAUUGAUCGUCAGUACAAAUUAAACUGGAAAAAUUGUAGGGAAAUUUCCAGUGAUGGAGCAGCAUGUGUGACUGGGAAACAAAGCAGAGUUGUUGAAAAAAUAUUAGAAGCAAUUCAUAACAAUGCUCUUUGGAAUUACUGUUUUAUUCAUCUAGAAGCUUUGGUAUACAGAGAAAUCCCACCAAAUCUAAUGGAUGUAUUGAGAAAUGCAGUGAAAAUUGUUAAUUUCAUUAAAGGAAGCUCAUUGAACAGC